AUGGUGUCCUUAAAGUCUGUUUGUGUCCCAGUUCAAGCCGACUCCCCACCGACGGGGCCUGGGACGGUGCCUGCCACGGACAGCGGCUCCCUGGGUGGGUCCGGCAUAGCAGUCAUAGCGAUCGCUGCCCCAGUGGUGCUAAUUGCCAUAGCAGUUGCUGUGGCUUGGUGGUGGUGCAGCAGGACGAAGAGGACAGGGUCCCAUCAGACGCAAGUGACUUCCGUGGACAAAUCAGAACCCAAAGGUCCCGGCUGUACGAUUUACAGUGUGAUUGAACGUUCUCCAGCGCAAACUCCAUUGCGGAGCCGGACAAAUGCCAAUACGAAGCAGUUGCAGACAGUCUACAGCACGGUGAAUCCCCUGCCUGCGAGACAGAAUCUCCUGCAAACAGAUGAUGAGAAGAUGCGGCAGGAGGCUCAGGGAGACGCCGAGAAAACCAUCUACUCCGAGGUCACCAAGCUCCAAGAGGAUCAGCAGAGGCACCCCCAAACUGUCUACGAUACUGUGAAGAAUCCAAGACCGUGAUAAACUCCCACAGAACUCUCUAGCAGGACUGGCCAAAUCCUUUGCCUCGGAUGUUGCUGAACUACAGCUUCCAUCAAGCUUUGCCCUUGGCCACACUGCCUAGGUCUCACGGGAGCCGAACUUCAGCAGCAUCUGAGGAGGUGGAAUUUGUCUGCCAGCAGCUUCUAAGUGGAGAAGGCAAAUGCGGAGGAAAAGCAUGCAACCUGAGGCCUUUCCAACGUCUUGUUGGGACCAAGGAGAACUGGAACCACUUGGACCUGGCGCCGUUGCUCAGCAAGUCGGAGGAGGCCCUUUCCGACCUGCAGGCUCCCACUGGGCCAGGAAGAAANGCUGCCCCUUCCCUGCUUUGGCAGAGGGCCUUCUCCAAGUCGGGGAAGGAGCUGAUCCUGUAACGGCCCCUGUUCGCUCUUCAGCACUCAGCCCCACUGGUCUGNCUUUAUUUUAUUUUAUUAAGAAUUUAUAUCUUGCCCUCAUCUGAAGACCCCAGGGCUGGGCCACAACAAUAAAAAGAUAAAAUAUAUAAGAUAAUC
ensembl:lncRNA